rnacentral:rRNA from 1 species
AUACGGAGGGGGUUAGCGUUGUUCGGAAUUACUGGGCGUAAAGCGCACGUAGGCGGACUGGAAAGUUGGGGGUGAAAUCCCGGGGCUCAACCCCGGAACUGCCUCCAAAACUUCCAAUCUAGAGAUCGAGAGAGGUGAGUGGAAUUCCAAGUGUAGAGGUGAAAUUCGUAGAUAUUUGGAGGAACACCAGUGGCGAAGGCGGCUCACUGGCUCGAUACUGACGCUGAGGUACGAAAGUGUGGGGAGCAAACAGGAUUAGAAACCCCGGUAGUCC